rnacentral:misc_RNA from 1 species
CACAUUCAUAAAAGUUGAAGCAUCUUUACCCAUAUGUGAAUUUGCACACUGCCCAUCAGUAAGCAAAUUAUCCCACUUGCUAUUGAGCAAUCUAUUUUUAAAAUCCACACCUAGAAUAUCAUAUAAGUCAUCCCCAAAUGGAGGUUGAGCGCAUGGAUCCUCAUACUCAAUAUUUGCACUAAUCUGACUUUCACUUGCAUGCCUAAGGUAAUCAUGAACAGAAUCUGGUUGGGAUGAUGGGAUGUUAAGUGCUUGAAACAAAUCAUCAUCCAUUUUUUCUUUCUUUGNNNNNNNNNNUUAGCAUGCUUCACAUCUGUGGAAUGGUUUCUAUGACGAGAAAUCCCUGAAAGCAUGCCACUAGCACUUAAUUGAUCUACCAGAUGGGAUAAAGGAACCUCCUCAGCCCUCGAUGAAUUAACAUUUUGAAUCCCAACCCCUGCCAUCUGUGUGGAAGAGUGAUUAAUAUCUGCCGACUUUUGCAGAUUAGAAAGAGAACAUGGAAUUGAAGUGGUUCUUGUAUUGCUACUCACUCCAUUACGUAAAUCUCUCCCAGGUGUCAUGUAACCUCCAUGAGAAUUAAGAAUUAGGGCUUCAUUUGUCCUCAUUUGAGGUGUGAUAAAGCUAUCUAAUGCAUUUCUGUUGUUAUCAAUAAGAUUUUGAGGAAUAGGAUCUGACAAAACCUGCUGUUCCAACAAUGUCAGAACGCUACUAUUGGCAUGCGAUUGAGCGAUAACAGAGUGGGGACUGAAUAGAGACUUUGAAUUAAGUGUAGCAACAUGCUGGUUCAGCCAUGCAUCAGGAUUUGAUGGGAUCACUUCAGCUCCAACAACUCCAUUCACUAGUUGGCCUCUUAAUGGAUCAUCUUGCUUAAUAGUUGUCAUUUUUGGUUCACAGAAGCCAACAUCAGAUUCAGGUGAACUUCUGGUCAGAUUCAGGGCACGAAAUG